GGAUGAACGCUAGCGGAAGGCUUAACACAUGCAAGUCGAGGGGUAAAGAGUAGCAAUACUUUGAGACCGGCGGACGGGUGCGUAACGCGUAUGCAACUUACCUUAAGCAGGGGGAUAGGUCCCGGAAACGGGAAUUAAAACCGCAUGACACAUUAGAUUCGCAUGGGUUUAAUGUAAAAGUUGAGGUGGCUUAAGAUGGGCAUGCGUCUGAUUAGCUGGUUGGUAGGGUAACGGCCUACCAAGGCGACGAUCAGUAGGGGUUCUGAGAGGAUACACCCCCACACUGGUACUGAGACACGGACCAGACUCCUACGGGAGGCAGCAGUGAGGAAUAUUGGUCAAUGGGCGGAAGCCUGAACCAGCCAUUCCGCGUGAAGGAAGAAGGCCUUACGGGUUGUAAACUUCUUUUCUGUAAGAAGAAUAACCGGGACGAGUUUCCGGGAUGACGGUAUUAUAGGAAUAAGCAUCGGCUAACUCCGUGCCAGCAGCCGCGGUAAUACGGAGGAUGCAAGCGUUAUCCGGAUUUAUUGGGUUUAAAGGGUGCGCAGGUUGUUUGACAAGUCAGUGGUGAAAGUCUGCCGCUUAACGGAAGGAUUGCCAUUGAUACUGUUGGACUUGAGUAUGGAUAAGGUAUGCGGAAUGUGUAGUGUAGCGGUGAAAUGCAUAGAUAUUACACAGAACACCGAUUGCGAAGGCAGCAUACUGGGCCAUUACUGACGCUGAGGCACGAAAGCGUGGGGAUCAAACAGGAUUAGAUACCCUGGUAGUCCACGCCGUAAACGAUGAUCACUCGCUGUUUGCGAUAUACAGUAAGCGGCUAAGCGAAAGCGUUAAGUGAUCCACCUGGGGAGUACGAUCGCAAGGUUGAAACUCAAAGGAAUUGACGGGGGCCCGCACAAGCGGAGGAACAUGUGGUUUAAUUCGAUGAUACGCGAGGAACCUUACCUGGGCUUAAAUGGGGGACGACAGCUGCUGAAAGGUGGUUUUCUUCGGACGUUCUUCAAGGUGCUGCAUGGUUGUCGUCAGCUCGUGCCGUGAGGUGUCGGGUUAAGUCCCAUAACGAGCGCAACCCUUACUGUUAGUUGCCAUCGGGUAAAGCCGGGGACUCUAGCGGGACUGCCACCGUAAGGUGAGAGGAAGGUGGGGAUGACGUCAAAUCAGCACGGCCCUUAUGUCCAGGGCUACACACGUGUUACAAUGGCCGGUACAAAGGGCAGCUACACCGCGAGGUGAUGCUAAUCUCGAAACCCGGUCUCAGUUCGGAUCGAAGUCUGCAACCCGACUUCGUGAAGUUGGAUUCGCUAGUAAUCGCGCAUCAGCCACGGCGCGGUGAAUACGUUCCCGGGCCU
rnacentral:rRNA from 1 species